GACGAACGCUGGCGGCGUGCUUAACACAUGCAAGUCGAACGGUAAGGCCCUUUCUUGGUUACAUGAGUGGCGAACGGGUGGGUAACACGUGAGUAACCUACCCACAACUGUGUUUGAACGCUAUUAAACUGGUUGUAAUUCUUGAUAUAUGCGCCUUCUGCAUGGAGGGGGGGGGAAAGCUCGGGCGGGUGUGGGUGGACACACGCGCUAUAGGCUUGUUGGUGGGGUAGUGGCCUACCAAGGCGGCGAGUGGUGGACGGCCUGAGAGGGUGAGCGGCCACAUUGGGACUGAGAUACGGCCCAGACACCUACGGGAGGCAGAGGUGGGGAAUAUUGCGCAAUGGGCGCAAGCCUGAUGCAGAAACGCCGCGCGCGGGAUGACGGCCUUCGGGUUGUAAAAAGCUCUCAGCCGGGAGGAAGCUUGUUGUGACGGUAACUGCAGAAGAAGCACCGGCUAACUACGUG
rnacentral:rRNA from 1 species